GGGAGGAGGUGUGCAAUCAAACCACAAAUGCAGAAGGACUGCUGGGAGCUGAAUGUGGGGGAGAAGACACCAAAGGGAGCGGCAGGACACAACAAGUGUGGCAUGGGAAGACAAAGGGGGAAGUGGGGACGAGCAGGAGGCCUGGGACUUUAAAUGCUACUGGAAGUCAGAAGGGAAGAGAUGACUGAUACCAGAAAAGGAACUGUACAGCUGGAAAGUGAAAUGUGAGAUGGGAAUUGCACAUGUGAGAAGGGAAGGCAACUGAGGCUGUUGAUGGGGCAAGGAAACUUCAGGGUGCCUUUUAUGAGAAAACUUUGGGCCCAAGAAGGUUUAUGCUGAACCCUCAAACACAUGCUGUUCAAAUGGCUUGAAAUAUUGAGUGAAGUGUGUUCAUCUUUCAUUAGCUGGAGAAAAGGUCAGUUUGGCUUGGAGCUAAAGGACAAAUCCAUGGUGUACAUCAGCCCUGCCUUUCGAUGUGGUGCCAGUGUGUUGGGCUGCCAUUCAGGAGAACCGAGGUGGAAAUGGAAGCCAAACUACACGUGGCUCUUGGGUGUCUCUCUGUAUGAUAAACCAGGGGGGUGCACUGUGCCAUUUCUCAACAAUGCAUGCAUUUUCUUUCCAUUGAAAUGCUAUGGUUGGUGUUACAGUUUUCAAAUUAAAAACUGAAUGUGUUUGAAUAUUUUCCCACACAAACAUUUCUUUGACUUGCAAAAUUCUUUUCUGUUAAAAGUGUCAGAGUGGAUUUUUAACCCAUUCUAAGAAAUUUUCUGCUGUCAAAAAUGACUAAUAUCCUAAACUCUCUUAAGAGUUAUUUGUCCCCAUUUUCCUUGCUGAAAAACGAUGAUUUCUGGAAUUGUUUUUGUUUUGUUUUGUUUUCUUUUUUCUCCCUUUAGUAUUCUUCUAGCAUCUCCAUAGUUUUUUCUCACCCAUGUAUAGCACUAAACUUUGGAAAGAGUGAUUUUUCUGAACAUGGAAAGUAAAAGAAAUGGCACAGUAGUUCAGCUGGGAUUAAGAAGAGAUUUAAGCCAAGCCUGAUCUAUAGGGAGAACUUUUCUGGAACCAAAAUGCUCCUACAGGUUUUUUUUUUUGAGCUUAGUAUUUUUUGGAAGUUCAAUGUACACUUCUACAAGGACUUCCAAAUGUAUCUUGUUCACUAAUAAAUUCCAAAUAAUUAUUGCUGGCUUUUGGGCU
rnacentral:lncRNA from 1 species